rnacentral:lncRNA from 1 species
GGCUGGAGGCCAGACUUGGUGGGCCGUGGGUGGGGGUGGGCCGUGACGUGACACGGAGGGCGUGACGGUCAGGGCUGCAGGCUUGGCCCUGGCGUCCGCUGCCCCUUUCCCGCUCACAGUGUAGCGGCUCUGAGACCUGCUGCUCACCACCACUGGAACAUGAGGCCUGGGCUUCCCCCAAGCUGUGGACAGAAGCCCGUCCCAGUGAGCACUGCGGAUGGCCAGGCCACAGGUCCCAGGGAAGGGGCAGGGGGUGCUCUGGCCAGAGAGGGCACAAGAGUCCAUGGACACCGGGUGGCAUCUGUGGGGAGCCCCCAGGCGUUGGUCAGGGUGGGGUUGGUGGGCUCUGCAUAGCCCCGUGUUCUCCCCCCAGGCCAGGACCUGCUCCUGUUCCUGCAGGCCCUGCAGACGCUGUGGUCCACGCGGGAGCUGCGGCAGGUGCUCACUGACAGGUGUGCAUCCCCCGCCACGGUCCCUCCAUCACAGGUCUCCACAGACCAGAGUCCUGUCUCAGCACUUUUCCUGUGCUGUUGUGGUCAUCACUCAAGGUGCAUCGUCCCUGUGUGUUCUGUGGGUUCUCACCGAGCGCCUAUUAGUGAAGCUCUUUCCCACCGGUGGCGGCCCCCCGCGUGCCUGCCGAGCGGUCACAGAGCAAUGGUGCUUCUCCCGCGAGGGUGUCGCCAGGACCCACCAGCAGAUGCGGAGGCACGUGAUACCCCAGCCCAGGUGCGGGAGGGUGCCGAUGGUAGCCCUGGGCCCUCGGAGGCCUCCUUUCUCACAGACCCCCCUCCUUUCCCGGGUGUUUGUAGAGGGAGACUUGCCCGGUCUCCUGAGUUCCCACACACGUUUGAGGGGAAAGUGCAUUUCACGUUUGGUGAGCAUGCCAACUUGCUCAAGUAUGGUGGUUUUAAAAUUAGGUUCAGACUAAGUAGACGUUUGCUCUGCGUGUCCUGGGGAAGCAUCGUCCACACAGUGAUGCAAGGACCGAGGCCCAUGUCCCGGUUCUGCACCCUGCUUCCUGCCCACGGCUCUGUGGAUGGACCCCCUGGCCUGGGGGCUGCUGGGGGCUGCUGAGCUCAGCAGAGGCAUCUGUAUGGGAGAGGGCACGCAGACAGGACGCGGGUGACUCUCCGAGCUCCAGACCUGAGCAAUGCUUUCCAAGGAGAGAGUUCUGGCCCAGGCCGGCCCCAGGCUGCUCUCAGG